rnacentral:misc_RNA from 1 species
GCCACACGUAAGCAGUCCUCUGCUCAUUAAAAAGCCAAAUUAGCCAAAUAAUCCAUUUAUGCCAUUUAAAUAAUACAAACCUACAAUGCAUAAGUAUCAAAUCAAUACAAAUGCAGAGUUUCAAUGCAUAAGUAUUAAAUCAAUACAAAUGCAGAGUUUCAUUUUUCCACUCAGUUGGCAUGUUGUUCCCUGGAUAACAUGUUUCAAAUCAAGUAAACCCAUACUGUUGCAAAGGCGGUUUUUGGCCAACAAUGAUAAGAGGGAAGUAGACUUUGUAAGCAAUUGGCAAAUAGAGGCAUAGACAUGCAUGAAAAACCAAGCGUUUGGACUUCUAUCAAGCAGUCCUCCUAAGAAGCAAAGCCAACAGAUAGCACAGUACAGAGUCGACUGAUGAUAGCGCAACAAUGAGCAGUGCCACAAUAACCAGCGUAAGGGUUGCAGUCUUCAGAGUGCUUUGGAAGCUUGGCCAUUCUAUGUACUUCAGCUGACCAGGCUGCUCAACCAGAAAUGAAAAUAGUGAUUUUGUACCCCAGAUGACUUCCUUAAUAAGAGUCAGAAAAAAAGGUUCUUGAGGCAAGUCAUCUUCAUAUCUCAACUGAUAUUGAUUCCUUCCUGCAAACAAAACAUGCUUGUUGCUAGACGGCUUUGCAGGAAUAUAUUGAAUCCUUCCUCCAGGAAUCCUUUGAGAUAGCUUAAUGACAUUGUCAUCAUUAAAUUUGAUUUCAUUACAUCUUCGAAUCCCAAAAGGUUGUUUAGAAUGAUGAAUGACCAAACCUGAAAAACUUCUUGCACAUCCAGAAACAAUGACCUUCAUAUUAGUACUAAUGUUAUCAAAAAUUGGGAAUAUUCACCAUCAACUACUAGGAGCGCCGACGAGUUGCUUCAGUAAUGCGCCUUCGAUGAGCAGCUGCGAGGAUGAGGGCAGGCGACGUUGUCUUGUGCUGCGGCGACGAGUUACUUCAGUGCUGCGGCUUCGAACACAGUGACAGUUAGGGGAUGGGGAGAAAGAGAUGACAGGGAGCUGGGUCGUGGCCAAAUG